rnacentral:rRNA from 1 species
UACGUAGGGUGCGAGCGUUGUCCGGAAUUAUUGGGCGUAAAGAGCUCGUAGGCGGCUUGUCGCGUCGGGUGUGAAAGCCCGGGGCUUAACCCCGGGUGUGCAGUGGGUACGGGCAGGCUGGAGUGCAGUAGGGGAGACUGGAAUUCCUGGUGUAGCGGUGAAAUGCGCAGAUAUCAGGAAGAACACCGAUGGCGAAGGCAGGUCUCUGGGCCAUUACUGACACUGAGAAGCGAAAGCAUGGGGAGCGAACAGG